rnacentral:rRNA from 1 species
CCUACGGGUGGCAGCAGUGAGGAAUAUUGGGCAAUGGGCGCAAGCCUGACCCAGCAACGCCGCGUGAAGGAAGAAGGCUUUCGGGUUGUAAACUUCUUUUCUCAGGGACGAAGCAAGUGACGGUACCUGAGGAAUAAGCCACGGCUAACUACGUGCCAGCAGCCGCGGUAAUACGUAGGUGGCAAGCGUUAUCCGGAUUUACUGGGUGUAAAGGGCGUGUAGGCGGGACUGCAAGUCAGAUGUGAAAACCACGGGCUCAACCUGUGGACUGCAUUUGAAACUGUAGUUCUUGAGUACUGGAGAGGCAGACGGAAGUCCUGGUGUAGCAGUGAAAUGCGUAGAUAUUAGGAGGAACACCAGUGGCGAAGGCGAUCUGCUGGACAGCAACUGACGCUGAGGCGCGAAAGCGUGGGGAGCAAACAGGAUUAGAUACCCGGGUAGUC